ACAGUCAGAUCACGUUGAAACACCUGUUCUAGUAAGAUCAUUGAAGUUAAGCAACGACGCGCCUGGUCAGUACCUAGAUGGGUGCCCGCUUGGGAAUACCAGGUGUUGUAU